UCGGAUUGUAGUCUGCAACCCGACUACAUGAAGCUGGAAUCGCUAGUAAUCGCAAAUCAGAAUGUUGCGGUGAAUACGUUCCCGGGUCUUGUACACACCGCCCGUCACACCAUGGGAGUCGGAUAUGCCCGAAGCCAGUGACCUAACCGCAAGGAAGGAGCUGUCGAAGGUGGAGCCGAUAACUGGGGUGAAGUCGUAACAAGGUACC
rnacentral:rRNA from 1 species